UAAUACGUAGGGUGCAAGCGUUGUCCGGAAUUAUUGGGCGUAAAGAGCUCGUAGGCGGUUCGUCGCGUCGGCUGUGAAAACCCGGAGCUUAACUCCGGGCCUGCAGUCGAUACGGGCGGACUUGAGUUCGGCAGGGGAGACUGGAAUUCCUGGUGUAGCGGUGAAAUGCGCAGAUAUCAGGAGGAACACCGGUGGCGAAGGCGGGUCUCUGGGCCGAUACUGACGCUGAGGAGCGAAAGCGUGGGGAGCGAACAGG
rnacentral:rRNA from 1 species